CGGUGUCCUGCGGACAACAAACUUAGGAAGUUGGAUGUGUCAGAUGACUCCUCAGCACUCCUCCCUCGCUCCCUCCCUCCUUCCCCAGCCUUUUUUUGUUUGUCUGCCUGACUCGCCCGGGGUGAGCAGCUCGCUAGGCCCCGGCUCCCGAGACGCUUCCCUGGGGGGAAUCUCCCCCUCUGGAAGCUGAUCUGAAAUCAGGGUCUCCUUUGAGACACGGCAACCAGGAGGGUCUCGGUGGUGGCCAGAGGAGAAGGGACUCGUCUGAAGGAAUGUGCUUGAAGGCAGCUCCUCCUGGGGGUUUUCAGGGUUUUGUUGCUGUGUAGGGUUUUUGUUUGGGGUUUAUUUCCCCCCCCCCUCUUUUUGCCGCCCGUUUUCAUUGCAGUUUCCCUUUUCAUCCCCUUUCCACGUCUCCGAUGGAGAAUAAUAGUAUGGAUUUAUGGCCUGCCAAGGGUUACCUUUCCCAGUAGGGAGGGGGCACCGAGCAGGGUGAAUAACACUCCUUCCUUCUCCUGCUCUGACAGGUUUAGGAGCCGAGCGAGGUCUUUUUAUGAUCCCUAUUUUCAAUCCUAACACGUCCGUGUCCUUUUGUGGACGCCUCUUUGUGAGGAGGGAAGGGGAGAGGUGCCUGCUCUCCGUGGGGCUGCAGGAGAAGGGCAGAGCUCUGCGGGAAUGCGUGGAACCGAUGUUUAAUAAUCUCCUGGACGAGGAUGUGCUCCAGCUCCCCGUCACUCAUUGUCUCCCUCCGGACCGGGUUUGUGAUGCUGAGGCUGGGAAAAUAGAGCCAUAAUCCCUCAUCCCCUUUUUGGGGGGCUCCAGCCAAAGUUUCAUGGGUAACCUGUGACCCUUCAGAGCAGGGCUUUUUGCAGGAAAGCUCCCCAAAAACACCUCCAGACCCGUCAUCCACUCGCGAAGCGCAGCGUUAUCCCACUGGGAAUCCCCCAAGCUCCAGGCCAGGCCUCUCCAAGGUAUCACCCACCCCGGGGAGGGCAGAAUGGGGGGCUCCCUUUUAUAGUUCCCCCCAGUUUUGGGGCGAGUGCCAACCUUGGAGCUGUGUUUGCAGGGAAAAGGCCUCCAGCUCUCGCAACUCCGCGGAUUGGCUGCUCUGUUACUACCCGGAAACCGGGCCCGGGGCGGAGCGAGGCUGCAGCUGAUGGGGUGCCCCUGGCAGGGUGUUUAUACCCAUGGGGGACCCACCCCAGCACCCCCAUCCCUCCCCCAAACCACGGGGCCGUUUCCCGUUCCAACCCCCGGGGUUUAUUGUUCCGCGGCCGCUGCGCUCGCAGCUUCCCCUUGGCCGCGAGUUUAUUUAGUGCUGAUUUAUUUUCCUCCUUUUGUGGAGAAACGCUGCUGGCUGGGUUGUAGUCCCCGAGCUCUAUUUUUAAGCGUCAGAGCUGGAAAAGGGAAGUGUCACCCUGUUUUGUGCCUGAAAGGAAUUAUAAAUAGUGGCCAGCUUUGUUUAAAUCUCCCCCAGUGCUGCCCAGUUUGCAGAGCCGGGGGUUUGGGAGGCGAGUCAGGAGCGUAAUUCACAGAGCAUUGCACUCCCUGCUAAUUUUAGGCUCGUCCUGAGUCAAGGAGAAUAAAAGUACAAAUCUCCUUAGUUUUACCUGCAGAGCAUUUUGUAAUCUCAAAACUCCCCCCCCCUCCACUCUCCCCGCCGGUGUUUGCUCCGUCGAGGCAAAGGGUAGGACAGAGUUUACAUUUGGGAUAAAUUCCUUUUUCUGGUCAUUAUAGGCUUACCCCCUGCACUUAUCAUCCCACUUGAACACCUUCCAAGAGUGGCGUUGAGCAAUUGCAGGGUCACAUGGCUUUGUUCUCUUUGGCCUGUCCCCAGGGAAGAGCGUGUGCACUGGAAUGUCUUGUUUUGGAUGGAUAUUUCUGGAAACUUUGAAUGUAAAUUUUCAAAUGUCACGCUACGCUUCUUUCUGCUCCACUUCUGGGGCUACGUUUUAAUGAGGUCUCCAGGGAUGAGGGGAAAUCGUGUGGUGAGGCUUCAAAAUGCACAAAGACGUGGCAGCAGCCCCUUCCCAGAGCUGGGAGAGCCCCCCCUUUUUCCCAGAAAUGCUGUCACAGGUGGUGGUUUAUAAAUCAAAUCAGAGCUCUGGUGACUGAAGGAUGGUCCAACCUUGUCACCUCUGCUUUCCACUGGCUCGUGCAGCUCCUGGGGAUUCCAGCAGGAGCCUCUGGGUGGGAUGGAUCCCAGGGAAAUGGGCUGACUUGCUUUUGUUGCUGGCAGAACUGACCCGGCCUCUAUUUCAUUUCACAUCUUCAGGAGCAUCCUCUACCCUUCAAUCUCUUUUCCCUGGAUCAAAUUAAUUCACCCAAAUCCCUCCCAAACCUUGGCAGGAAGGAUCCCUGUGGAUCAUUUUUGAACCCAGCUCUGUCAGCCUGGAAUUUCUCAGCAGGGCUGCAUCUCCUGCAUCAUCCCCAUCCAGGAAAUGAUGGAGAAUCCCAAAUAUUCCUGACUCAGAGGAAGGGUGCUGGCAGGUUCAGGCCUGCUCUGAGGCUGUGUCCGAGGAGACACCCGAUUCCUGCAGCAGGAAAAUCUGCCUGAAAACACAACCCUGGCUUGUCUGAGCAGAGAUUGAAAAUCAUUUUCUCCUUAAAGGGAGUUUCUAAAUGAAAAUGUUGAUUUAAAAGUUGAUUUUGAAGCUCUUGGAUCCCCAGAGUGGCCACGGUUUGGAGAGUUAAGACUCUUCUUGGUUCUGUGAAAUGAAACUGCUCCUUCAAGCCUUGCUCAGUGGAGUGCUGUGUCGGUGUUGAAUUGAGGGAAGCAGUGGAAAUAAGGAAGCUGAAUGAUCAGUGUGCUUUGUUUGACAUCGUUGGUAACUCAAUACUCCUGGCUCAAGGGGGAGGAAUCCGUGCCUGGAGAUUGGAGAAAGCUCAGAUCCCAACAGGAGAAUGUGCUUUGAGAAGGGCUGGGUUGAAAAUUUGGGAUGUCAGAAAUCAGAUCCCGGAUCAGAAAACAACCCCACUAUGGAGAUAAUUCCAUUUUCCUUGGUGCCUGGGGAGCAGGAAAGGAAAAAAUCCCCCUGGAUUCUGUUCCUGGCAGGCCAUGAAGAGCUGAUCACCCCCUGCCAAAGGAGCAGGAUCCCAACCAGGACCAUAAAUGAGUUUUAAAUGAGCCUUCCCAACUUCAGGAAGAAUUUUGGGUGCAAACCCCUUCCACAGGCUUGACCUUCAUCCUGAUUUUCCAUUGCUUGUGAGCUGCUCUCUGCCUUCUCUGCUGCACUUGAGGUUCACAAGGUUGGCAGAAUUUCACUUGUUCUUGAAGAAAUCGCAUUUUUAGUAGUGUUUUAAAAGGAAUAAAAAUCCCCAGGUGGCUCAGGAAUGAUCCACCCUAAAAAAAAAACCCACCUGGAGCUGGUGGAGCUUCGUGUGCUCCUUCAAAUUGGGUGUUGGGAAAUCUGCACCAAAGCCAAACCAGGAUUUUCCUCUCUGUUAAUUCAGGACUUGCACUGAUCUCAAGCCUAAUUUCCACAUUCAGUUGGCUUUUAUUUCCUCCACCCAUGCUGGAAAAAUCCCAGAGGGUUUGGAGAUUUAUGUUUUAAAGCUCUUUUCUUUGAGGAUUGGCAGAUAAGAACCAGCAAGGCUCAGAAACUACUGGAGCUUCUGGCUGAGGUAGCGGAGAAUUCUGGAACAAACAACUUGGGAAUGGCCUAAAAGCAGAGAGGGAUCGAGAGCAAACACGAAGUCACCAUCUUGGGAGGACUCAACGAAUUUGUCGUGAAGUUUUACGGACCACAAGGAACACCGUAUGAAGGUGGAGUAUGGAAAGUUAGAGUCGACCUUCCUGACAAAUACCCCUUCAAAUCCCCGUCUAUAGGUAAAAAAAAUUCCUCAUUUUCCAUCCAAAUCCUGCAGUUUUGUGCCUAAAGUUUGCAGGUGGAGUCUGGUGCCAGCACAAUGGAAAGAUUUUGGAGCCUGCAAAAUGUUUUUUAUGGGAUUUCAGAUCCCAAGGAGAGAGGAAUUUUGAGUUUUGGAAGGAGGAAGAGCUGGGAGUGGGAUUUGGUUGCUUAUUUUUGUGUGUUGGUCAAUUAAAUCUCAAUUUCUGUGGUUGUUUUUUUAAUAUAAA